rnacentral:rRNA from 1 species
AUGCACGCUGACAGAAUGCUUCACACAUGCAAGUCAACUUGAAUUUGGGUUUUUAACUUAGGUUUGGGUGGCGGACGGGUGAGUAACGCGUAAAGAACUUGCCUCACAGCUAGGGACAACAUUUGGAAACGAAUGCUAAUACCUAAUAUUAUGAUAAUAGGGCAUCCUAUAAUUAUGAAAGCUAUAAGCGCUGUGAGAGAGCUUUGCGUCCCAUUAGCUAGUUGGAGAGGUAACGGCUCACCAAGGCGAUGAUGGGUAGCCGGCCUGAGAGGGUGAUCGGCCACAAGGGGACUGAGACACGGCCCUUACUCCUACGGGAGGCAGCAGUGAGGAAUAUUGGACAAUGGACCGAGAGUCUGAUCCAGCAAUUCUGUGUGCACGAUGAAGUUUUUCGGAAUGUAAAGUGCUUUCAGUUGGGAAGAAACAAAUGACGGUACCAACAGAAGAAGUGACGGCUAAAUACGUG